AACAGGAAGAAGCUUGCUUCUUUGCUGACGAGUGGCGGACGGGUGAGUAAUGUCUGGGAAACUGCCUGAUGGAGGGGGAUAACUACUGGAAACGGUAGCUAAUACCGCAUAACGUCGCAAGACCAAAGAGGGGGACCUUCGGGCCUCUUGCCAUCGGAUGUGCCCAGAUGGGAUUAGCUAGUAGGUGGGGUAACGGCUCACCUAGGCGACGAUCCCUAGCUGGUCUGAGAGGAUGACCAGCCACACUGGAACUGAGACACGGUCCAGACUCCUACGGGAGGCAGCAGUGGGGAAUAUUGCACAAUGGGCGCAAGCCUGAUGCAGCCAUGCCGCGUGUAUGAAGAAGGCCUUCGGGUUGUAAAGUACUUUCAGCGGGGAGGAAGGGAGUAAAGUUAAUACCUUUGCUCAUUG
rnacentral:rRNA from 1 species